UCUCCGUUGGUGAACCAGCGGAAGGAUCAUUACCGAGUUUACAACUCCCAAACCCCAUGUGAACCUUACCAAACGUUGCUUCGGCGGGAUGCCCCGGGCGCGGGCCGCAAGGCCUCAGCCCCGGGACCAGGCGCCCGCCGGAGGCCCAAACCAAACUCUUGUUUUUGUAGAAUCUUCUGAGUGGCCUUUUAGGCAAAAAAUGAAUCAAAACUUUCAACAACGGAUCUCUUGGUUCUG
rnacentral:misc_RNA from 1 species